rnacentral:rRNA from 1 species
GGGCCCGCACAAGCGGAGGAACAUGUGGUUUAAUUCGAUGAUACGCGAGGAACCUUACCCGGGCUCGAACGGCUAUAGAAUACAGGUGAAAGCUUGUAGCCAGCAAUGGCUGUAGUCGAGGUGCUGCAUGGUUGUCGUCAGCUCGUGCCGUGAGGUGUCGGCUUAAGUGCCAUAACGAGCGCAACCCUUACCGUUAGUUACCAUCAGGUCAAGCUGGGGACUCUAACGGGACUGCCGCCGUAAGGUGAGAGGAAGGUGGGGAUGACGUCAAAUCAGCACGGCCCUUACGUCCGGGGCUACACACGUGUUACAAUGGGUGGGACAGAAGGCUGCUACCUGGCAACAGGAUGCUAAUCCUUUAAACCCACUCCCAGUUCGGAUCGGAGUCUGCAACUCGACUCCGUGAAGCUGGAUUCGCUAGUAAUCGCGCAUCAGCCAUGGCGCGGUGAAUACG